GUUGGCUUUACAUGACAUAAACAUAUAUGAUAUAAAUAUGUCGAGUAAACAGCAAAGAUCUUUCAGGAUAUUUUUGCCGCAAAUAUUAAUGAAUAUUUAAAAACAUCAUUGCAAUUGCGCUCGAAGCGAUGAUGUAAUCGAAUGUUUGUGUCACUAUUAUAAAAAUAUCGCAAAGUUAAAACAGUGUUUAUUCGUUUGCGUUUUGCAAUUUAAAUAACAAGUAUUUUUGCAUCGAUUGCGUGCAAUGCAAUCGUAAGAGUGAGUGUUCGCUUGCGAAGUAUUUUGCUUUUUUAAUAGUCGCACAGACUGUAUUUAUAAAAGACAAUAGAAUUUCUCGAAGUAAAUUCAGUGAUUGUUCGUUAAUAAAUAACUACCACAAAUUAGAGUCAGUGCACCAUUGAAUAGGAUCUCGAUUAACUUCGAUACCGACUUACCUUAUUUUCAACCAACUACAUUUUAUCCACCCUUAAUUUCAAUCUAAAUCGCGAACGAGUGUUUUGGAGCCGUCGCAAAACUUCUUAAGUAGGAUCAUAGAGGGAUCAACGAGGGAUAGACUUAUCUGCGAUCGAAUGAAUCCGAUAUAUCGUUGAAUGGCUCGAUUCAUCGGCAAUUUUUAUGCGAUAAUACGGGAAGGAUAGGGAAAACACUAGUAUGUGUAGGAUGGCAUAUACAUGGGUGUUAGUGGACGCGAUUAAAAAUCCAUUUUAUUUAUUCGAAAAUUCAAUUAAAUAACUUCGCGUGGGUGUCUGGGCUUGAUUAAAAGUCUUACCAUGGAUUUCAUUGUAUUAUUCGAAAUUUGGGAUACACGAAAGAUUCUACUUAGUAGUAGAGUACAUGUAGUUGCCGAUGUUGCGACAGUUCAGUUACCCAUAAGCGGAGACUGACCCUUCUCUUAGCUCAUGUCACCUCAAAUUUCAACGUAGAGUCAGCAUUAUUCUAAACACUCACGUGAGUGUUCGCGAACGCAAUUAAAAGUCCUACCGGGAACUUUGUUUUAUUUGUUAUUGAAAAUUCCAUUAGAUUAUUUCGCGAACACGCACUUUAGAAUAGUCACCGUUAGCCCGUUGGUUUCCAGAUGCAGCAAUUUGCACGUAGUGAGACCUAGAUCGAUAGUACUUGUGAUAUAUUGAAAUCUAAUUAUAAAUCACGCAAUGCAAAAUGAAUGGCUGGAUAUUUCAAUGUAUUUUCAAAAUCCCUUCAAACUAAUUCUGAUUAAAUACUAAAGUACUAAUACUUUAUAUUGGAAAUAAUACUUCUAUAGACAAAUAGAUAAGAUAUAGUUAAAUUCAAAGAUAAUUCUUUAAAUUCGCAAAUUUAUAUACUAAUUAUCAUAUAUGUUAAUUACAUUUAUUAUUCAUUAUGCUUUUAUCGUGAAAUAAAUCCAGUACCAGCGUCGCAUCUAACAUGGAUCAUUGCAAGACGCACACAUACAUAGAAAGAUAUACAUAUGGAAGAUUGAAAAGAGUGAGUUUACUAUCUACUAAAUUACUUACUCUAUCCACACAAAACCAAUUAUUAUAUACGCGCGAAAGAAGAAUAACCAACAAACUUAUAUACCGAUACGAUAGACGUAUGGUAGAGACAGCGUUCCCCGCAUGUAUUUCCAGUUCAUAUUUUGUCCAUACCUGUCGCUAAAGUCACACACGCUUUGAACAAAAGGUAUUGAAAGCGCGCAAACAUUACUCGUAGUACCAACUAGUAACAGGAAUUAAUACUACAACACUUUAAUGUAAAAUACUCGUCGCACCAUCUAGUAGCGAGAAAUUAUACUAUAACAUUAAGUACAAAAUAUCCAUUGUACCAUCUAAGAAAUUGAUACUAACGAAAUAAUACAACUUAUCUGUAUUCCCAUUUAUCGGUUCAAUUAAAAGAAUAAAAUUUCUCAAAAAUCACUUUA